rnacentral:rRNA from 1 species
UACGGAGGAUGCGAGCGUUAUCCGGAUUUAUUGGGUUUAAAGGGUGCGUAGGCGGACGCUUAAGUCAGCGGUAAAAUUGCGGGGCUCAACCUCGUCGAGCCGUUGAAACUGGGUGCCUUGAGUGGGCGAGAAGUACGCGGAAUGCGUGGUGUAGCGGUGAAGUGCAUAGAUAUCACGCAGAACUCCGAUUGCGAAGGCAGCGUACCGGCGCCCAACUGACGCUGAAGCACGAAGGCGUGGGUAUCGAACAGG